GAGAGUCCUAAACAGAGAACAUGCAGGCGUUUAAAAAGCAAAACCAUCAAGAACUGCAGAGAAAAACAUGGAGACAUAAAUUUUGCCCUUAAUUGCAGAUCUGCACAGGUGGGGGAAGUGAGAAGAGCUUGGAACACAUGACUUUUGACAGACCAAGUUAAGAUAAUGUACAUUCUUUUUUUCUCAGCUCUGUUACCAGGAGUGUAAAUCAAACCAUACCCUGCUAUUCAGAAUCCAGCAAGUACUCCCCAAGGGUCAUCACAAAUUUAAAAGAUGGCAUGCUUUGGGCUAAACUACUACCCCACCUUCUAAUCCUUCAACAUUAGCAUUGAAAUGAAGGCAGAACUAAGAAACUAGAUGAAGUAAGAUACAAGAGGAAAGGAGGAGUAAGAACGUGCUAAUAUGCAAUCACACAGGACCAUAGAAUGACACUUUGUUAAUUAAACACCCUUUAUAUGAUUCAAUGCUACAUAAUGGAGAAAAUACCAACCCUGUUGGUAUUCUAGGAUGCUUCAGGAAAACCAAAACAAUGUGUCCAAAAUCACAUACAGUGAAAAAGUGUCAUAGAUCUUCAGAUCACAAGAAAGCAAUACAACAGGAAGAGAACAGACACUGAAAGUGGAAGUGACCAGUGAAGCUAAAAGUGGACUCGCAAUACUUCUCAAGCAGACAUUUGAUAACAGAAAGAUAAAUGUACAUGAGAGUUCUGUGGAUUGCUGGUAAUACUGAUGAAGCAAUGACCAACUGGCGGGGACAGGACAGGAGGAUGGACACACGACACACUAGAAGCUGAAAAUUUAAGUCUUAAACCUUGUUAGUCCAAAAAUUUGAAGAGUGUGUGGAGAGGGAAGGAAGAAGGCAAAAACAAGCAAGUAUGUAAGUACUCACCCGAAGAUAACUGUUUUUGAACUAGUAAAGAAAAACUUGUUUGCCAUGAAAAAAACUAGUGAUCUCAUACACUCUAUAAAUGAAAAUGGUCAUUAAUCACAAUAUUACAUAGUUGCACAUCAUCUGACACAGUAAUUUUAGGUAACUAUUUAAAAAAAAAAAAAAAAAAAAUCCUUACCUCAGUUGUUUUGCAUAGUUUUGCUCAAUUUCUAUCCUUUCUUUAACAAAUUUUGCAUAUUUCUCCAAGAAGUCAAUGCCCCACUGUGUGUGCUUGUCCAGGUUAUCAAACUGAUCCUUUAAAAACAAAAGGCAACAAAAAUACCAAGAAUUAGUUAAUAAUCAUAGUAGAACCAGAAACUACAUAAAAUUUGAGUUGUGCUGUGGAGGAAUGCUUGCUACCUGUAUAGAAGUUAUUCCAGUUAUAAAUCACUUGUGUGUGUGGGUAUAUAUAUAGACCUGCCAUAUACCAAAACAGUAAGCUGUCCUUACAGGCACAUAUCUACCUCUUUCUGUAAAAACAGCUCCAAAUACCUGCAUUUUAAGUUUUACACAGUUUCUGAUCAAUUUCCCAAUGCAAGUGUGUCUUUUUUAUCCCCUGAAUCCUUUAAUUCAGAAGUGGAUCAUUUCCACCAAGAUAAUAAAGACAUAACUGAAGAUGAGUAUUAGGUAAAUAAGAGAGCGUUCAACAGAAAUUAUGUGCUUGGUAGUUUAAAACAGAAGUAGUUGUAAUUGCAUUGGAUUAAAAAAAAAGUUACUUCUACUCUUACAAUUAUCCACUCAAAGAAAAAUAAUAUUAAUUAUAGCUGCAUAACUAAGUUGGGUAUACUCUGCAUAUGAACAACAUUCAUUAAAGAAAAUCCAUAUAAACAGUUCAGAAUCAGCUCUACCAAGAGAUUCCAAAGACAGCAAACCUGUCCUUAGCCAUUAAGAACGUUAUAGCAAAGCAAAGGCACAAAACAAAAAGAGAAAUGCUCUAAAAUAAACCACGCUUCCAAAAACAGUUGGGGAAUUUUAAAUAAAUUAAAUCAUCUUAAAAA